rnacentral:rRNA from 1 species
UACGGAGGGUGCAAGCGUUGUCCGGAAUCAUUGGGUGUAAAGGGUGCGUAGGCGGAUGUUUAAGUCUGAGGUGAAAUCUUGCCGCUUAACGGUAAAAUGGCCUUGGAUACUGGAUGUCUUGAGUGCAGAAGAGGCAGGUGGAAUUCGUAGUGUAGCGGUGAAAUGCAUAGAUAUUACGAAGAACAUCAGUGGCGAAGGCGGCCUGCUGGUCUGCAACUGACGCUGAGGCACGAAAGCGUGGGGAGCGAACAGG